rnacentral:lncRNA from 1 species
GUUUUUGUGGCCAUCCUCUGAUACAACCAUGUUCGGCAGGAGUCACUUGGCAACUUUCAGCUGGUGGAUGGACUGAUCUGGAGGAUCUGAGAUUGUUUCACUCACAUGCCCAGUGCCUUGCAAGGCUGGCUGAAGGGCUGGGAUCAGUGGGGCCUGGGAGGCAGAGAGCUCACCUACAGCGUCUCCAGCGUGGCAACCCCAGGGCAUCAGAACUUCUCACGUGGCACCUCAGGACUCCAGGAGCGACUGCUGCCACAAUCCAGGAGGCACUGUAUGGCCUCUGUGACUUGGCCUCAGAAGUCACACCAUGUCACAACCUUUGCACUUUGUUGGCCGAGGCAGUCACAAGGCUGCCCAGAUUCAAGGAGAGGAGACAUAGACUCUACCUCUUAGAUGGAAGAGGCAUCAAAGAAUUUGCAGCCAUUUUUAAAACAGCCAGUUUUCUUUGACUGCAUGCUUUUAUUUUCCCCUGUAAUCAUUCUCAGAGUGAGAUCUCUAUAUAGUAGGUGCUGUCAAAUGACACGGGGGAGUGUCUUUCUCAGGUCUCUUACUGGGAGGUACAGCACUGGUGUAGAUGGGUCUUUCCUCCCUGCUGUGUGUAGAAGGCUGUCACCUGGGCUGCACCAUUCUGGAUGCCACACUAUUACUGACCCAGUCUAAGACAUGAUUAACCCCUUUGGAGACAAUGUAACAUUGCCGACCCACAUCAAGCUCACUGUAUACUACAGUCUCAGCUCUUCUUCUUGCUUGCUUGGAAGUACCUGCCCUACCUGUCAGCUGCUAGUGACCCCCGACCCAUGAACAGUCCAUACCACAGUCUUCUCAUGCUCAACACCAAGCUCAUUUGAUUUCAGUUGGUACAUUUUUGUUCUUCCUCUUUAUGAGGUUCCUCAAAUCCAGGCCUGGGGAAGGCAUCUCUCUGCUGCUCCAUGACCGUCCAUGAGUCAUGGAGAGUGGCCCUGUGAUCUCAGAGGGGUUUUCAAAACCAGAGUGUGUUUGCCAACAAAAAUGAUCAACAUUGAUUGGAGGGCUGGAGAAGGAGUUAUAGAGUCUGGAAAGUGAGCCAGCUAAAUCUUCAUCUUCGAAAAUGGAGAGGUUGUAGAUAAUGUCUGAAGUUGACAGAGCAAGGAAGGACAUUCUAUAAACAUAUUACUGUAUUUGGAGUUAUGCAGGUAGCCACUGAAAAACUAAGAACAGAAAUGCUUCAAACUGGUUGCCUCUGGAAAGAGAGCUGGGAGGAAGAGUGGGCUGGGAGAGACCAGCUCUCCUCAUGCUUAGCCGUGCAGUGCAAUGUAGUAUUUUACCUUGUGCAUGGAUUUUGUAAUAAGAAAUAGCGAUGUGCAUUUGGAUAUUAAAAACAUUACACAAC